GACGAACGCUGGCGGCGUGCUUAACACAUGCAAGUCGAGCGGUAAGGCCCUUUCGGGGGUACACGAGCGGCGAACGGGUGAGUAACACGUGGGUGACCUGCCCUCAGCUCUGGGAUAAGCCUGGGGAACCGGGUCUAAUACCGGAUAUGACUCCAUGACGCAUGUUGUGGGGUGGAAAGCCUUGUGCGGCUGAGGAUGGGCCCGCGGCCUAUCAGCUUGUUGGUGGGGUGAUGGCCUACCAAGGCGACGACGGGUAGCCGGCCUGAGAGGGCGACCGGCCACACUGGGACUGAGACACGGCCCAGACUCCUACGGGAGGCAGCAGUGGGGAAUCUUGCGCAAUGGGCGAAAGCCUGACGCAGCGACGCCGCGUGAGGGAUGACGGCCU
rnacentral:rRNA from 1 species